rnacentral:rRNA from 1 species
GUUAAGCGACUAAGCGUACACGGUGGAUGCCCUGGCAGUCAGAGGCGAUGAAGGACGUGCUAAUCUGCGAUAAGCGUCGGUAAGGUGAUAUGAACCGUUAUAACCGGCGAUUUCCGAAUGGGGAAACCCAGUGUGUUUCGACACACUAUCAUUAACUGAAUCCAUAGGUUAAUGAGGCGAACCGGGGGAACUGAAACAUCUAAGUACCCCGAGGAAAAGAAAUCAACCGAGAUUCCCCCAGUAGCGGCGAGCGAACGGGGAGCAGCCCAGAGCCUGAAUCAGUGUGUGUGUUAGUGGAAGCGUCUGGAAAGGCGCGCGAUACAGGGUGACAGCCCCGUACACAAAAAUGCACAUGCUGUGAGCUCGAUGAGUAGGGCGGGACACGUGGUAUCCUGUCUGAAUAUGGGGGGACCAUCCUCCAAGGCUAAAUACUCCUGACUGACCGAUAGUGAACCAGUACCGUGAGGGAAAGGCGAAAAGAACCCCGGCGAGGGGAGUGAAAAAGAACCUGAAACCGUGUACGUACAAGCAGUGGGAGCACGCUUAGGCGUGUGACUGCGUACCUUUUGUAUAAUGGGUCAGCGACUUAUAUUCUGUAGCAAGGUUAACCGAAUAGGGGAGCCGAAGGGAAACCGAGUCUUAACUGGGCGUUAAGUUGCAGGGUAUAGACCCGAAACCCGGUGAUCUAGCCAUGGGCAGGUUGAAGGUUGGGUAACACUAACUGGAGGACCGAACCGACUAAUGUUGAAAAAUUAGCGGAUGACUUGUGGCUGGGGGUGAAAGGCCAAUCAAACCGGGAGAUAGCUGGUUCUCCCCGAAAGCUAUUUAGGUAGCGCCUCGUGAAUUCAUCUCCGGGGGUAGAGCACUGUUUCGGCAAGGGGGUCAUCCCGACUUACCAACCCGAUGCAAACUGCGAAUACCGGAGAAUGUUAUCACGGGAGACACACGGCGGGUGCUAACGUCCGUCGUGAAGAGGGAAACAACCCAGACCGCCAGCUAAGGUCCCAAAGUCAUGGUUAAGUGGGAAACGAUGUGGGAAGGCCCAGACAGCCAGGAUGUUGGCUUAGAAGCAGCCAUCAUUUAAAGAAAGCGUAAUAGCUCACUGGUCGAGUCGGCCUGCGCGGAAGAUGUAACGGGGCUAAACCAUGCACCGAAGCUGCGGCAGCGACGCUUAUGCGUUGUUGGGUAGGGGAGCGUUCUGUAAGCCUGUGAAGGUGUGCUGUGAGGCAUGCUGGAGGUAUCAGAAGUGCGAAUGCUGACAUAAGUAACGAUAAAGCGGGUGAAAAGCCCGCUCGCCGGAAGACCAAGGGUUCCUGUCCAACGUUAAUCGGGGCAGGGUGAGUCGACCCCUAAGGCGAGGCCGAAAGGCGUAGUCGAUGGGAAACAGGUUAAUAUUCCUGUACUUGGUGUUACUGCGAAGGGGGGACGGAGAAGGCUAUGUUGACCGGGCGACGGUUGUCCCGGUUUAAGCGUGUAGGCUGGUUUUCCAGGCAAAUCCGGAAAAUCAAGGCUGAGGCGUGAUGACGAGGCACUACGGUGCUGAAGCAACAAAUGCCCUGCUUCCAGGAAAAGCCUCUAAGCAUCAGGUAACAUCAAAUCGUACCCCAAACCGACACAGGUGGUCAGGUAGAGAAUACCAAGGCGCUUGAGAGAACUCGGGUGAAGGAACUAGGCAAAAUGGUGCCGUAACUUCGGGAGAAGGCACGCUGAUAUGUAGGUGAAGUCCCUCGCGGAUGGAGCUGAAAUCAGUCGAAGAUACCAGCUGGCUGCAACUGUUUAUUAAAAACACAGCACUGUGCAAACACGAAAGUGGACGUAUACGGUGUGACGCCUGCCCGGUGCCGGAAGGUUAAUUGAUGGGGUCAGCGCAAGCGAAGCUCUUGAUCGAAGCCCCGGUAAACGGCGGCCGUAACUAUAACGGUCCUAAGGUAGCGAAAUUCCUUGUCGGGUAAGUUCCGACCUGCACGAAUGGCGUAAUGAUGGCCAGGCUGUCUCCACCCGAGACUCAGUGAAAUUGAACUCGCUGUGAAGAUGCAGUGUACCCGCGGCAAGACGGAAAGACCCCGUGAACCUUUACUAUAGCUUGACACUGAACAUUGAGCCUUGAUGUGUAGGAUAGGUGGGAGGCUUAGAAGUGUGGACGCCAGUCUGCAUGGAGCCGACCUUGAAAUACCACCCUUUAAUGUUUGAUGUUCUAACGUUGACCCGUAAUCCGGGUUGCGGACAGUGUCUGGUGGGUAGUUUGACUGGGGCGGUCUCCUCCUAAAGAGUAACGGAGGAGCACGAAGGUUGGCUAAUCCUGGUCGGACAUCAGGAGGUUAGUGCAAUGGCAUAAGCCAGCUUGACUGCGAGCGUGACGGCGCGAGCAGGUGCGAAAGCAGGUCAUAGUGAUCCGGUGGUUCUGAAUGGAAGGGCCAUCGCUCAACGGAUAAAAGGUACUCCGGGGAUAACAGGCUGAUACCGCCCAAGAGUUCAUAUCGACGGCGGUGUUUGGCACCUCGAUGUCGGCUCAUCACAUCCUGGGGCUGAAGUAGGUCCCAAGGGUAUGGCUGUUCGCCAUUUAAAGUGGUACGCGAGCUGGGUUUAGAACGUCGUGAGACAGUUCGGUCCCUAUCUGCCGUGGGCGCUGGAGAACUGAGGGGGGCUGCUCCUAGUACGAGAGGACCGGAGUGGACGCAUCACUGGUGUUCGGGUUGUCAUGCCAAUGGCACUGCCCGGUAGCUAAAUGCGGAAGAGAUAAGUGCUGAAAGCAUCUAAGCACGAAACUUGCCCCGAGAUGAGUUCUCCCUGACCCUUUAAGGGUCCUGAAGGAACGUUGAAGACGACGACGUUGAUAGGCCGGGUGUGUAAGCGCAGCGAUGCGUUGAGCUAACCGGUACUAAUGAACCGUGAGG